rnacentral:rRNA from 1 species
ACUCCUGCGGGAGGCAGCAGUGGGGAAUAUUGGACAAUGGGCGCAAGCCUGAUCCAGCCAUGCCGCGUGAGUGAUGAAGGCCCUAGGGUUGUAAAGCUCUUUCACCGGUGAAGAUAAUGACGGUAACCGGAGAAGAAGCCCCGGCUAACUUCGUGCCAGCAGCCGCGGUAAUACGAAGGGGGCUAGCGUUGUUCGGAUUUACUGGGCGUAAAGCGCACGUAGGCGGACUAUUAAGUCAGGGGUGAAAUCCCGGGGCUCAACCCCGGAACUGCCUUUGAUACUGGUAGUCUUGAGUUCGAGAGAGGUGAGUGGAAUUCCGAGUGUAGAGGUGAAAUUCGUAGAUAUUCGGAGGAACACCAGUGGCGAAGGGCUCACUGGCUCGAUACUGACGCUGAGGUGCGAAAGCGUGGGGAGCAAACAGGAUUAGAUACCCGAGUAGUCCCAUGAU